rnacentral:rRNA from 1 species
AGAGUUUGAUCAUGGCUCAGGAUGAACGCUGGCGGCGUGCCUAAUACAUGCAAGUCGAGCGGAAACACUUCGGGUGUCGAGCGGCGGACGGGUGAGUAACGCGUAGGUAUGCACCCCAAAGUGAGGGAUAACCAUCUGAAAAGAUGGCUAAUACCGCAUGUGGUCUUCGGAUUAAAGCCUUCGGGCGCUUUGGGAGCGGCCUGCGUUAGAUUAGCUUGUUGGUAAGGUAAUGGCUUACCAAGGCGACGAUCUAUAGCUGGUCUGAGAGGAUGAUCAGCCACACUGGAACUGAGACACGGUCCAGACUCCUACGGGAGGCAGCAGUAGGGAAUUUUCCACAAUGGGCGCAAGCCUGAUGGAGCAACGCCGCGUGCAGGAUGACGGUCUUCGGAUUGUAAACUGCUUUUGUCAGUGAUGAUUAUGACGGUAGCUGACGAAUAAGGGUCUGCUAACUGCGUCCCAGCAGCAGCGGUCACACGUGGGACCCAAGCGUUAUCCGGAUUUACUGGGCGUAAAGAGUUGCGUAGGCGGUCAAUUAAGUGAUGUAUUAAAUCGGGUGGCUUAACCAUCUAGCUGUACAUCAAACUGGUUGACUAGAGUAUCGAAGAGGUCGCUGGAAUUUCUAGUGGAGGAGUGGAAUCCGUAGAUAUUAGAAGGAACACCGAUGGCGUAGGCAGGUGACUGGUCGAUUACUGACGCUAAGGCACGAAAGCGUGGGGAGCGAACGGGAUUAGAUACCCCGGUAGUCCACGCCGUAAACGAUGGAUGCUAGCUGUGUGAGGUAUCGACUCCUUGCGUAGCGAAGCUAACGCGUUAAGCAUCCCGCCUGUGGAGUACGAGCGCAAGCUUAAAACAUAAAGGAAUUGACGGGGACCUGCACAAGCGGUGGAGCGUGUUGUUUAAUUCGAAGAUAAGCGAAGAACCUUACCAGGGUUUGACAUCCUUGCGAAGUCUCGGGAAACUGAGAUGUGCCUUCGGGAACGCAGUGACAGGUGCUGCAUGGCCGUCGUCAGCUCGUGUCGUGAGAUGUUGGGUUAAGUCCCGCAACGAGCGCAACCCCUAUGUUUAGUUAUAUUUUCUCUAAAAAGACUGCCCUGGCAACGGGGAGGAAGGAGGGGACGAUGUCAGGUCAGUAUUGCCCUUACAUCCUGGGCUACAAACACGCUACAAUGGCCGGUACAAAGGGCAGCCAACCCGCGAGGGGGAGCCAAUCCCAUCAAAACCGGUCCCAGUUCGGAUUGCAGGCUGAAACUCGCCUGCAUGAAGUCGGAAUCGCUAGUAACGGUGAGUCAGCACAUCACCGUGAAUACGUUCCCAGGUCUUGUACACACCGCCCGUCAAGCCACGGAAGUCAGGAGCGCCCGAAGUAGGUUCAAUAAGAACGUCCUAAGGUGAAUUUGAUAACUGGGGUUAAGUCGUAACAAGGUAACCGUA